UUUGAUACUUGAAAGUCCAAUAGGGCAAACAACAAUUUUACCCUUGAUUAAGCUUGUUUUGUUUAUUUUCUAAAACAAUUGAGUAGUUGGAUUUGUAAAUCUCUAUGACCAGUAGUAGUGGUUGAUGAUAUUUUUGGUAACUUACAAGUUUUACUCUUCUAAAUUUGCUGUGAGGAUUGUGAUUGCUUUAGUGGCUAGGAGGUGAUAUUGCUCUGGUGAUUUGCAACUAGAAGGUGGUAUUGCUCUGCUGAACUUGCUGUUCAGAGGUAUUGCUCUAAUAUCUUGUUAGUCUUUAGUUUUUGGCUUUUGUUAUAUGACGUCUUUGAGUGCAUUGCUUUGAUAUCUUAGUUGCAUAAUUGGUCUCAUUUAUCACUAUAAGUAUGGUUUUGCUUCAAGAUUCUGUCUAAGUGUGCAUGAAUUUUAAGGCUAUUUAUGGUAAGAAACCGAUGUGAUUGGGAUGUGAUAUAUACUUCAUAUAUAUGUAUGCGUAUAUUAGUUUCAAAUAUUAAUAUUUGUGAAUGUUGACUUUUGUGUU
rnacentral:lncRNA from 1 species